UACGUAGGGUGCGAGCGUUAAUCGGAAUUACUGGGCGUAAUGCGUGCGCAGGCGGUUUGCUAAGACAGGUGUGAAAUCCCCGGGCUUAACCUGGGAACUGCGCUUGUGACUGGCAGGCUAGAGUACGGCAGAGGGGGGUGGAAUUCCUGGUGUAGCAGUGAAAUGCGUAGAUAUCAGGAGGAACACCGAUGGCGAAGGCAGCCCCCUGGGCCUGUACUGACGCUCAUGCACGAAAGCGUGGGGAGCAAACAGGAUUAGA
rnacentral:rRNA from 1 species